AACUGUAACCACGAAUCCAGAAAAGUUGUGGAUCACGAAAUCAUAUUCCCAACAUAGAAGAAGAAGCUGAGAAGGGAAAAGUAACAAAGUAAAGAUUUUGAUAACAAGGAAAAAAGCUGAAAUUAAAUCGUGAGAGAGAAGAAGAAAUAUGGUUAGGAAAGAAGAGGAGUGAGUGGCGUUAGGAGUUAUAUUUGAAUGAGAAAGAGAGAGUUUUAGUGAGAUGGUUAUGAACUAGGAGAUGGUUUGGAGAGAGGUUGGAGAUGAAGAAGUGGUGAUUAGGGUGGAGGUCACUGGUAUGGAAGUAUGGAAAAGAAGAAUAAAUAUAAAUGAGAAGUAGAAUGUUGGAAUUUGGAGAGAAGAAUGGUAUGUGAGGAGCGAAGGGGUUAUGUCGGGGUAUGGGGGUAAUGCCGCAGCAAUAAAGAAGGGAAUAGGGUUUUAAAUUAAAAUAAGUAAAAGUAAAAAAUAAAUAUUUAUAUAAGAUAAAAAGAAGGUUAUUUUUGUAAUUAAAAAAAUUAUAAAAAUUUGGGGAGGUGGAGGGACGUGGGGGUGGAGGGAAUAACACCCAAAAAAUUAAAUUUUUCAAACCCAACCCGGCCCAAACCCGUGGUGAGCCG
rnacentral:lncRNA from 1 species